rnacentral:rRNA from 1 species
GGGAUUAAGAUACCAUGGAUAGUCCCACGCCGUAAAACGAUGAGUACUAGGUGUCGGGGGGAAGACCUCGGGCCGAAGUUAACACAUUAAGUACUCCGCGUGGGAAGUACGCUCGCAAGAGUAAAACUCAAAGGAAUUGACGGGGAUCCGCACAAUCAGCGGAGCAAGUGGUUUAAUUUGAAGCAAACGAGAGGAACCUUACCUAAACUUGACAUACCAAUGACAACCUUUUAAUCGAGGACUUUUACCUUCGGGUAGACAAUGGAUACAGGUGGGGCAUGGUUGUCGUCAGCUCGUGUCGUGAGAUGUUGGGUUAAGUCCCGCAACGAGCGCAACCCUUGCCGAUAGUUACCAGCAGUAAGAUGGGGACUCUAUCGAGACAGCUAAGGACAACUUAGAGGAAGGUGGGGAGGAAGUCAAAUCAUCAUGCCCCUUAUGUUUAGGGGUACACACGUGAUACAAUGGUCAUUACAGAGAGAAGCGAAACUGCGAAGUCAAGCAAACCUCAAAAAGAUGAUCCAAGUUCGGAUUGUAGGCUGAAACUCGCAUACAUGAAGUUGGAGUUGAUAGUUAUCGAGAAUCAGAAUGUCGCGGUGAAUGCGUUCCCGGGUCUUGUACACACCGCCCGUCUCACCAUGGGAGUUUGGGGGGCCCUAAAAGUCAGCGACUCAACCGCAAGGAGAGAGCUGCCCAAAGGCCCUUUUUUUUUAAUUUCGGGGAGU